GACGAACGCUGGCGGCGUGCCUAAUACAUGCAAGUAGAACGCUGAAGGAGGAGCUUGCUUCUCUGGAUGAGUUGCGAACGGGUGAGUAACGCGUAGGUAACCUGCCUGGUAGCGGGGGAUAACUAUUGGAAACGAUAGCUAAUACCGCAUAAGAGUAGAUGUUGCAUGACAUUUGCUUAAAAGGUGCAAUUGCAUCACUACCAGAUGGACCUGCGUUGUAUUAGCUAGUUGGUGGGGUAACGGCUCAUCAAGGCGACGAUACAUAGCCGACCUGAGAGGGUGAUCGGCCACACUGGGACUGAGACACGGCCCAGACUCCUACGGGAGGCAGCAGUAGGGAAUCUUCGGCAAUGGACGGAAGUCUGACCGAGCAACGCCGCGUGAGUGAAGAAGGUUUUCGGAUCGUAAAGCUCUGUUGUAAGAGAAGAACGAGUGUGAGAGUGGAAAGUUCACACUGUGACGGUAUCUUACCAGAAAGAGACGGCUAACUACGUG
rnacentral:rRNA from 1 species